AUCCUUUUGUAGUUCAUAAGCAUGAUGAUUGGGUUUUCAUGUGCAUACGUAAAAUGUGCCACCCACAAAUCUUGUUACAAUGUUGGCACAUUACCCGUCUGACA
ensembl:snoRNA